UACGGAAGGCAGCAGUGGGGAAUAUUGCACAAUGGGCGCAAGCCUGAUGCAGCCAUGCCGCGUGUAUGAAAAAGGCCUUCGGGUUGUAAAGUACUUUCAGUCGUGAGGAAGGUGUUAAGGUUAAUAACCUUAGCAAUUGACGUUAGCGACAGAAGAAGCACCGGCUAACUCCGUGCCAGCAGCCGCGGUAAUACGGAGGGUGCGAGCGUUAAUCGGAAUUACUGGGCGUAAAGGGCACGCAGGCGGUUAAUUAAGUUGGAUGUGAAAUCCCCGGGCUUAACCUGGGAAUGGCAUUCAAGACUGGUUAGCUAGAGUCUUGUAGAGGGGGUAGAAUUCCAUGUGUAGCGGUGAAAUGCGUAGAGAUGUGGAGGAAUACCGGUGGCGAAAGGCGGCCCCUGGACAAAGACUGACGCUCAUGUGCGAAAAGCGUGGGGAGCAAAACAGGGAUUAGAUACC
rnacentral:rRNA from 1 species